rnacentral:lncRNA from 1 species
CCUCAGUCCCCAGUCCCAGCUGCAGCCUCGAUCGCUCCAAUGGACCCUCUAAUGCGAAUCGAUCCCGACACACGGUCUGCUGCUCGCCCAGUUUUCCAUAUCACAUUUAAGAUCUCCUCAAUCUAAUGCUUUACGAUCGAGACGGCUAGACGUUUGCUGGAUCGCGAUCUAACUCAAACGUAACGAAUCGCAUACAGGAACAGGGGCCCCUGAAUUUCAAUAGUUUUGCGGGUUACGCAGUGCCCAGUGUCGGUUGGGACGAGUUCUCUGGGAACUGAAUGGGCUGCUGACACCCGCAGGUAUGCCAUCAGUAUUCAUCAGUUGUUGGGUAAAUAUUUGCAGUUGAGUUUUACGAUUUUUUACUAUUUGUUUACAGACGUAAUCAAUAAAAAAAAAAGAAUUUUAAGUGCCACAGGCACAGACAGAACACGAGCAGCAGCACAAACACAAUUCUAGAUUAUAGAAUGCAACUACGGGAUAGUAUGGCACCCAGAACCAGAACCAGAGCCAGACCCCAGACCAGACCAGCAGCAGCAGCAGCC